GACGAACGCUGGCGGCGUGCUUAACACAUGCAAGUCGAACGGAAAGGCCCUGCUUUUGUGGGGUGCUCGAGUGGCGAACGGGUGAUUAACACGUGAGUAACCUGCCCUUGACUUUGGGAUAACUUCAGGAAACUGGGGCUACUACCGGAUAGGAGCUCCUGCUGCAUGGUGGGGGUUGGAAAGUUUCGGCGGUUGGGGAUGGACUCGCGGCUUAUCAGCUUGUUGGUGGGGUAGUGGCUUACCAAGGCUUUGACGGGUAGCCGGCCUGAGAGGGUGACCGGCCAAAUUGGGACUGAGAUACGGCACAGACUCAUACGGGAGGCAGGAGUGGAGAAUAUUGCACAAUGGGCGGAAGCCUGAUGCAGCAACGCCGCGUGCGGGAUGACGGCAUUCGGGUUGUAAACCGCUUUCGCCUGUGACGAAGCGUGAGUGACGGUAAUGGGUAAAGAAGCACCGGCUAACUACGUG
rnacentral:rRNA from 1 species